rnacentral:rRNA from 1 species
UACAGAGGGUGCAAGCGUUGUUCGGAAUUAUUGGGCGUAAAGGGCGCGUAGGCGGUGCGGUAAGUCUGCGGUGAAAUCUCCCGGCUCAACUGGGAGGCUGCCGUGGAAACUGCCUUGCUUGAGGACUGGAGAGGAGACUGGAAUUCACGGUGUAGCAGUGAAAUGCGUAGAUAUCGUGAGGAAGACCAGUGGCGAAGGCGGGGUCUCUGGACAGAUCCUGACACUGAGGCACGAAGGCCAGGGGAGCAAACGGG